UACGUAGGGGGCUAGCGUUGUCCGGAAUCAUUGGGCGUAAAGAGCGUGUAGGCGGCCCGGUAAGUCCGCUGUGAAAGUCGGGGGGCUCAACCCUCGAAUGCCGGUGGAUACUGUCGGGCUAGAGUGCGGAAGAGGCGAGUGGAAUUCCUGGGUGAUAGCGGGUGAAAUGACGCAGAUAUCAGGAGGAACACCAAUUGCGAAGGCAGCUCGCUGGGACGUAACUGACGCUGAGACGCGAAAGCGUGGGGAGCAAACAGG
rnacentral:rRNA from 1 species